ACUCUCUGGCUGAGCCCUGGGAUCUCUGGACUCGUCACUGUUCAGCCACUGCUGCCCGGAGCCUGACUGAAUUUCAAAGCAAACCCCUCUUCUAUGGGGAUGGCAGCUGAGAGGGGCUGUGCUGUGUUUCCAAAAUGCACAAAUAUAUCACUUUUUUGGAAUUCAAGAUAGAAAUUGUUGAUAGCAAAGGAGAUGCCUAGAAGUAAUGAAUAAAAUUAAUUUUAAAGUGAUUGUCUUGUGGCUCCUUCUGAAAGUACAUCUCGUCUGGUACCAACACAUGGCUCACCUCAAAGCGUGUGUAGCUCAGAGUUGGAUCUUCAGAUGGUGUAACUGUUCAAGGACAACAAAGGACUGGCAAAAUGAAACUGAAGAAAGAGUUUUUGAGGAAGAUAUGGAAAAGCAAAGACUCCUGUUGUCGGCAUGGUAUGGGCAGGUGCUUGGUCUGCCUUCCAGAGGAGGAUGGGGCCAGCGCUGCCACCAUGCUGGUGUGAGCCCUGAGAAGGGAGAGCACUGGCUCUCCACUGACAGGAACAAGUUAGCUCCUGAAGAAGCUGGAUGUGGUCGCUCUGUAACUCUCAAAUACGCUCUAAAACAUUACAAAUGUUUUGUAACAUCCGAAAGGCACCUUUCCUGAGGGCAAGCAGCAGCAGACAGCAAAGCCUCUCCAAAUUACCACCUUGCCCUCCGGCUGUACACAGCCCUUGGUAUGUAUGGUGACAAUGGGCCAUUUUGUAAGGCGGACCAAGUAUUUAUUUAUUUCAAUCUUGCAUAUAGAAUGUUCUUGAUGCCUGCAUCAUAAAAUUUAUGUAAAUUUCUAUUUGUUGUCAGGGUGUGUCGAGAAGGCUUGGGCGAGUGGGAUAUAUAUAUGAUUAUUAACGUCCGUUGACUGAUCAACUUGAUCCACCUUCUAGGAGACACAUUCCCUGCGUUUUUCCUUCCUCC
rnacentral:lncRNA from 1 species